rnacentral:rRNA from 1 species
UACGGAGGAUGCGAGCGUUAUCCGGAUUUAUUGGGUUUAAAGGGUGCGUAGGCGGGCUUUUAAGUCAGCGGUAAAAAUUCGGGGCUCAACCCCGUCCGGCGGUUGAAACUGGGGGCCUUGAGUGGGCGAGAAGAAGGCGGAAUGCGUGGUGUAGCGGUGAAAUGCAUAGAUAUCACGCAGAACCCCGAUUGCGAAGGCAGCCUUCCGGCGCCCUACUGACGCUGAGGCACGAAAGUGCGGGGAUCGAACAGG